CCCUUAGAUGUUCUGGGCCGCGCGCGUGCUACACUGAUGCAUUCAACGAGUCUAAAACCUGGUCUGAUAGGGCUGGGUAAUCUUUUGAAAGUGCAUCGUGAUUGGGAUAGAUGAUUGCAAUUCUUCAUCUUCAACGAGGAAUGCCUAGUAAACGCAAGUCAUCAGCUUGCAUUGAUUACGUCCCUGCCCUUUGUACACACCGCCCGUCGCUCCUACCGAUUGAAUGAUCCGAUGAAUACCAUGGAUUGAGAGUACGAAUAGGUUCGCUUAUUUCUGCUGCUCGAGAAGUGGAGUAAAUCUUAUCAUUUAGAGGAAGGAGAAGUCGUAACA
rnacentral:rRNA from 1 species